AGCUCCCUCGGAUAUCAGACACAAACAAGCUCUAUGUCUUCCUGUGUGUGGUUAUAUGGCUAGAAACAGGCACUUUAAGGCAAUGUCCUGGAAUAGUAUCAUCGUUGUCAUUUCUGUAGAUUACCAUACUAGUGACAAUUUCUCAAGGCAGUAUUUUUAAGGCUUUUGUGUUUGACCCUUUUUCUGCAUCUCAACUUCUAGAAAAAUAUAUCUGUCAUCUGGACAAAGGAGUGAGCCUUUCUCAGAGGAAGAGGUUGAUCGCUGCUUUCUGUUGUGCAGUCGUUGUUAGACAUGAUACGGAUACUGGCCUGAGCUGCAAUAGGCUGGUGUCUGCAGUCACAACUGUAGCUGAAAUAUGAUGUAGAAAUGCUGUGACAUAGCACCAGACUGUGAGCAGAUACCGAAAGCAUGGACAAACCAGCUACACUCGUCUUACUGCCAAUACCAGCGCCUUUCACUGGUGGCAUUACUUCUUCCAGUCUUACUGAGGUGCUGCUCUUGAAGCAACCUAAUUUUUCAAGGAAUUCUGCCUCAAGCAAGGACCACAAUGGAAAAGGAUGCUAGCUUGGAUAGGAUCACAUGCUACGGAGGUAGAUUUACAAAUCCACGCCUUGUUGAUGGACACUUCUGACAGAGCUGCCUAAGACACCAAAGGUUCAGGAUCUUAUGCCAGCAGAGGUAUCAGGACCUGGCUGCCAGACACUCACACUUGCGCUGCCUUGAAGGCUGCCUCCAUGCUCCCUAUGAAGAUGCCCGUGAGGUUCAUAAAGGGUUCACAGGACCUUUGGGAUCUCAGAGUGGAGAAGCGUUGUUUACUUUACUGGUACGUACGUAGCCAGCUGUCUGCCAAAGCUUCUGCUCGUCUAUAAAGUCAUACUUAUCUGUAGCAUAAUGAAUCAGACAGAAAAUCAAUGCGACAUUUCAAAUAUGGCCUCAUUAGUGCCCUUGUUUAGUGUCAGGAAAAAAUAUCCUGCAAGUUGUUCAGCAUUUCUCUUCUCACUGCGUAGAAUUAUAUUUCCCUUGCUUUAUUGCCUUUACACCUGGUGUUGAAUUUGAUUCUAGCCACUAACUCUAUAAUCCAUAGCUUGCUGUGUGUUUUAUGGUUAUAAUCUUUGACUGUCUAUUUCCUUAUUUGUCCCUCAGGUUUAUUAAUUUACUUCUACUCUGGGCUAUAUGAGUGGCUUACUCAUCCCACACUCUUUCUGAAGUGUUGCUGUGAUCUUUGCUGUGCUCUCCCCAGUGGUGCACAGCAAGAGAACUAUAAGUGAACAGUGUUUUUUGUCAUGUGAUUCUUACACCUCUUCAUCUAACUUACUACUUUUGUUCACAAAUUCACUCCGUCUCUGGUCUCCUCCGGCUUGGCUUAUUCUUUUCUUAUGCGUCAGAGCUUUUGUGUCAUUUACCAUUUCUUGCAGGCUAAGAGAAUAAUUUGCUGUGAAGCAAUUCUGGAUUAAGCAAUUUGCACCUGUCUCCUCAUCCUCCGCAGUCAUUUAUUGCCACUCCUAUUCUGCCGUCUCUGUUUUACUCAAUCCCAUGGGGUUUUUUUUCUUCCUUUUUUUUUUUUUUUUUUUGGUGAUGCACCAAAAGUGAGGAACUGAUCCGGAUUGCAAAUGACUUAAUAAUUUCAUUUUAUUUUGCAUUUAGCAGGCCACAUUAGCAGACAUAUUGCACAGUACUGUUGACCUUCUACAAAAUAUGGAAGCACCAGGAAAAUGGUGGGAACCCAAUAUUGGUGAGAAAGAAUAACUGAGACCAACCAGUGCAGUGGCCUAAGUAGGCUUUGCCAUCUUAUGGGAAUAGUGUGUGGAAGCAUCAUUUGGUGUAAAUAGCUUUCUCAUAUUGUUAAAUGACUGUAUCAAACUACCUAAAUCUUGUGGCACCUGUUAUAUAUGGUGAAGUUUGCAAGACCAGAUAGUGGAAAUUGGAGGGGAAAAAAAAAAAAGGUUCAGUUCAUUUGGAAAUCAAUAAUCUAAAUGAUUUUUCAGUUCUCAGUAUUAACUCAUAAGCACUUGUCAAAUUCCUUUUUGCCUCCCUCCUUUCUUUCCUUUGUCUCUUUCUUCUCACAACUUCCAACAUUUUCUGCAAUCUUUACUUUCUGUGUUUUAUAAUACGUCUUCUGUGAUUUGUAGAUAUGCUACAAGCAGAAAGACAACUUUCACACUGAUAGGGCAGGGAUUUUUCUAUUAAGUGCUUUUGAUCUCCUCCCACAACAGUUGGUUCUUUGUCAUCUUUUUUUACCACCUUCAUGAUGUCCUGUACAUGUCCAUAGCUACAAUGCCUAUGAACACUGCAUGUUCUAUAUGAUAUUCAGCUUCAGAAGAACUCAUGAGUAUAAGGGAACCUGACAGACCACCAUAAAGUGGAACUUAGUAAGUACACCUGUUUCAGGUUUCUCGGAUCCCAUGGUCUCGAUCCAAAUUGUAUUUUACUGAGAAUGUGCACACAGUGUUAGGGUACCGGCCAGGUAGACAGCUCUGAGUCAGUGUUAGAAUUCAGCUUACUUGUGACGUGAUUUCUAUUCCAGGGUCUUCAUCCAUGGUAAAAAUCAGGCUGUUUUAGGUGAGGGCAGAGCCAGAAGUUGUGAGAGGUAAGACAGAAUUUGACAUGAAAGCAGUGAUGCUGUAGGCCACUGGGUUAUGAAAUUGUUGUUUGCAUAAUGCUGCACUGAACCCAGUCAUUU